UACGGAGGAUGCGAGCGUUAUCCGGAUUUAUUGGGUUUAAAGGGUGCGUAGGCGGUCCGUUAAGUCAGCAGUAAAAUUGCGGGGCUCAACCCCGUCGAGCCGUUGAAACUGGCAGACUUGAGUUGGCGAGAAGUACGCGGAAUGCGCGGUGUAGCGGUGUAAUGCAUAGAUAUCGCGCAGAACUCCGAUUGCGAAGGCAGCGUACCGGCGCCAGACUGACGCUGAGGCACGAAAGCGUGGGGAUCGAACAGG
rnacentral:rRNA from 1 species